GAAAUGCGAUAAGUAAUGUGAAUUGCAGAAUUCAGUGAAUCAUCGAAUCUUUGAACGCACAUUGCGCCCGUCAGCAUUCUGGCGGGCAUGCCUGUUCGAGCGUCAUUUCAACCCUCAGGACCCCCCUUUCGCGGGGAGGGACCUGGCGUUGGGGAUCGGCCCGCCCCCCGUGGCGGCGCCGUCCCCGAAAUCUAGUGGCGGUCUCGCUGCAGCCUCCCCUGCGUAGUAGUUACAACCUCGCAUCGGAGCGCGGCGCGGCCACGCCGUAAAACCCCCGACUUUCUGAACGUUGACCUCGGAUCAGGUAGGGAUACCCGCUGAACUUAAGC
rnacentral:misc_RNA from 1 species